UUCUCUGUGUAGUUUUGGUGCCUGUCAUGGAUCUCACUCUGUAGACCAGGCUGGCCUCACACUCACAGAGAUCUGCCUGGCUCUGCCUCGAGAAUGCUAGGAUUAAAGGCAUGCACCACCACCGCCCGGAUGAUAGGGUCAUUUUAUGAGAAUUAAGAAAAUUGUUGAGGAGAAAGCUGAAUACCUAUAUCACAUCCCUAUGUGGAACAAAAAUAUACUUUGGGAAUGCAAUAUGGAAACUUUUGUUAUUCUUUCUUUAACGGUAUAUCAUAUAUCACUCUGGAAACAGGCCAAGUGUUCAUAAAUGAUAUGGAAAGAAGCAAUAUAUUUCUCUGGUACACAGAACAAUUAGAAGAUAUGUAGUAGCCCCUACGUAGUUUUUCUGAAUGUAAUAUAAGCUUACAAAUAAUAGCUUUUCAAACAUCAUUGGAAAUACAUCAACAACUCACAUCACAGAAAAGCCCUUUACAUACAAAAGGUAUGUAAAUUCUUCUGUUUGUUCUGGUUCACUUUGCAAAUGUAAUAUGACUCAAUAUAGGAAAAUGUUAUGAAUGUAAUCAGUGUGGUAAAGCUCUGAGUUCUUCCAAUUUUUUUCAAUUAUAUGAAAAAACUCAUAUGAAUAAGGAUGAAGUACAUGAAAAGUGACCCAUGUCCUAAAGGCUCUGACCAUCACUGGUAUUUUAAACACACAAAAGAGCCCAUAAAAUAAAGAGGGACCCUGUGGAUACAAACAACAUGGUAAAGCCUUAACAUCUGACUCCUCUUUGCCAUUAGAUAAAAGUGUAAAAUUAAGUCAUAGAGAUGAAAACAUUCAUCAGAGUAAUGAAUUUGUUAUAGCAUUUACAUGUGCCAAUUAUCUUCACAGGCAUGAAAGAAGUCCUACUGUGAAAAUCCUGUGAAUGUAACAACAAAAUACAUAAAAAAAAAAAAAACCCACACAUACUGGAUAGAAGCCGUAUGAAUGUAAUGAAAGUGGUAAAGCCUUUUCACAACAGUCAUCUCAGAGUUCACACAACAACUCAUACUGGAGUGAAAUCCUAUGAAUGUAAUCAAUGUGGGAAAGCCUUCCCACAACACAGUAGCCUCCAAAUACACAAAAGAACCCAAACUGGAGAAAAACCCUAUGAAUGUAAUCAAUGUGGGAAAGCCUUGGCACAAUAGAGUCAUCUCCAAAUUCAUAAAAGAACUCAUCUGGGAGAGAAAUCCUAUGAAUGAAAGCAAUGUGGUAAAAAGCCUUUGAAUGCCACAAUUAUCUUCAAAGUCAUGAAAUGAUUCAUACUAGAUAGUAACCCUUUGAAUGUAAUCAAUGUCAUAACAUCUUUGCAUUUCAUCAUAGCCUUUGAAUCCAUGAACAAGUUCAUCUGUGAGUAAAGCCUGAAGUGUGGAAUGAAUUUGUUAAAGCCUUCAUAAAUCACAGUAGUCUUUGAUGAAAUGAGAGAACUCAUAUUGAAGUGUGAUCUAUGAGUAUAAAGGAUUUGGUAAGAUCUUUAGCCAACAAGUUUACAUUUAGUUACACAAGAUUAGUGUUGAGAAAAAUAUCUGACAAGUGUCAACAACCUACUCAAGGAUUAUGAUGUCCCUCUUUAUUUUGUCUGCACCUACAAACCCAUGGACAAAAGCCUUGUGAAUUUAGUUAGUAAGGCAAACCUUUUAGAUAUCACAUUUCCCAUCAAUUAUCCAGAGUAAACUUUAUGGAUGUAUACUAGUGUCUUCUCUUCCUGUGAUAAAACACAGUGUCUCAGGCAACUUAUAAAAGAGCUUAAUUUGGCUUACGGUUCCAGAGUGAAACAGGAUCAUCAUGAGAGAGGCAUGGAAACAAGUGUCAGACAGAACAGCUAAAGCAGGAAGCUCAGAGCUCACAACCUCAACCUGAAGUCUGGAGCACAGAGUGGGAACUGGAAGCGGUGUGAGGAUUUAAAACCCCAAAGCCCACAACCAGUGACGUCUUUCCUCUAGAGUGCAGCAUUUUCUAAACUUUUCCAAAUGAUACCAACAACUGAGAAGUAUUGGUUCUCUAACUUGGAAGCACGAAUGCUUGCUUUCUGUUAUAUGAACCAAUUCAUGACUUAACAAAACUCUGUACAUAAGCCUUUACAUGCCUCAACAUCUGGGUCCCACGAAUGAAUGCUUACAAAGUAAACAUGGCCGUGAGUGACAAUGUCUGUUUAAUGCAUUGUUUGAAUUUUCGUUUUGUUAUGACAGUGUGACUUUAGAUGUCUGCAUGUGCUUGGUGGUCCCCUAGAGCAGCAGACAGUGGAGAACCCUGAAUUGCUAACAGGAAUUACAGGGAGCUGUGAAAAACCUCACCUGGAUUAUGGCCCCAAGCCUGAAUUCUAGGAAUCUGAUGGCCUGGGACAGUGACUCUUCUUUCCUGGGAGCAGUGUGCCUUCCUCCUUCCUCUCCAAUGGACCAACUGUUUUCAUACUCCCGUAAUGAAUAAGACUGUGAAGUCUGACUCUAGAUAGUGGGAAAAAGACACAGACACCACUUUCCUUAGGAUAAAAUCAAGUGCAGUUCCUGUCUAGUCCCCUCAUGUCAAGAGAACAGCAUCUAAGACAAAGACCAAAACUCAACCUCUGGCCUCCACACUUUUGUGUACAAAUGAUAUGCCCCACACAUGCGGACAUGCAUAAACCAUGCAUGCACAUCACAGACAAAUGAACAAAGAGAAAGAAGACGACAUCAAUGAGACCUUGGGUGGUCAGGAGCUUUUGUGCGUUCUUUCUCACUAGUGAACUUCUACCCUCCAGAGGACCUUUCACUUUCUCAAUAAAUUAGCAAUACUUCAAUUACUAACCAUUUGUCUCAAUUCAUAUUUGGUCAGUUGGACAAUAGCUAGCCAGCAAGUAUGCAUGAAAUGUUUACUGUUCAAGAAACAUGUCCAAAAUCAAAUUAGUAACAACACUGUUAAAUCACGUACUACUCACAAAAAAGGGAGAUUGUGCCAAAUGGUAGUAGCACACAGCGUUUAUCCCAGCACUUGGGAGACA